GACGAACGCUGGCGGCGUGCUUAACACAUGCAAGUCGAACGGAAAGGCCUGCUUUCCCUUGUGGAUUGCGGGUACUCGAGUGGCGAACGGGUGAGUAACACGUGAGUGAUCUGCCCCCAACUUGGGUAUAAGCCUGGGAAACUGGGUCUAAUUCCCGAUAGGACUGCAGGGUGGUGCCUGUGGUGGAAAACGAUUUUCUAGUGGUUGGGGAUGAGCUCGCGGCCUAUCAGCUUGUUGGUGGGGUAAUGGCCUACCAAGGCGGCGACGGGUAGCCGGCCUGGGAGGGUGGACGGCCACAUUGGGACUGAGAUACGGCCCAGACUCCUGCGGGAGGCAGCAGUGGGGAAUAUUGCACAGUGGGCGGAAGCCUGAUGCAGCGACGCCGCGUGGGGGAUGACGGCCUUCGAGUUGUAAACUCCUUUCGACCGCGAGGAAGCCACCUGGUUGGAAGGGUGGUGACGGUAGUGGUAGAAGAAGCACCGGCUAACUACGUG
rnacentral:rRNA from 1 species